GCAUGUCUAAGUAUGAACGCUCCUCACCGUGAAACUGCGAAUGGCUCAUUAAAUCAGUUAUAGUUUAUUUGACGGUCCCYCCCACUUGGAUACCCGUGGUAAUUCUAGAGCUAAUACAUGCCUCAAGUCCCGACUUCGCGGAAGGGACGUAUUUAUUAGAUCCAAAACCGACGCGGCCUUCUCCGGCCGUUCCCUCCGGCGAGUCAUGAUAACUGCUCGAAUCGCACGGCCUUGCGCCGGCGAUGGUUCAUUCAAGUUUCUGCCCUAUCAACUUUCGAUGGUAGGGUCUCGGCCUACCAUGGUUGCAACGGGUGACGGAGAAUUAGGGUUCGAUUCCGGAGAGGGAGCCUGAGAAACGGCUACCACAUCCAAGGAAGGCAGCAGGCGCGCAAAUUACCCAAUCCCGACUCGGGGAGGUAGUGACAAUAAAUACUGAUACCGGGCUCUUCGAGUCCGGCAAUCGGAAUGAGACCCCCUUAAAUCCUUUAUCGAUGAACAAUUGGAGGGCAAGUCUGGUGCCAGCAGCCGCGGUAAUUCCAGCUCCAAUAGCGUAUAUUAAAGUUGUUGCAGUUAAAAAGCUCGUAGUUGGAUUUCGGGUCGGGCGUCGCGGUCCGCCGCGAGGCAGGGUACUGCGUCCCGCUCCUUCUUCCCGGCGGCCCCGUCUGCUCUUGAUUGCAGCGGGCCGGGGACCUCGGGACGUUUACUGUGAAAAAAUUAGAGUGUUCAAGGCAGGCCGCGCUUGAAUACAUUAGCAUGGAAUAAUGGAAGAGGACUUG
rnacentral:rRNA from 1 species